rnacentral:rRNA from 1 species
UACGUAGGGCGCAAGCGUUGUCCGGAAUUAUUGGGCGUAAAGAGCGCGCAGGCGGUCGUUCAAGUCGCGUGUGAAAGCCCCCGGCUCAACUGGGGAGGGUCACGCGAUACUGAUCGACUCGAAGGCAGGAGAGGGUAGUGGAAUUCCCGGUGUAGUGGUGAAAUGCGUAGAUAUCGGGAGGAACACCAGUGGCGAAGGCGACUACCUGGCCUGUUCUUGACGCUGAGGCGCGAAAGCUAGGGGAGCAAACGGG